GACGAACGCUGGCGGCGUGCUUAACACAUGCAAGUCGAACGAAGUGGCGAACGGGUUAGUAACGCGUAAUCAACCUGCCCUUCAGAGGGGGACAACAGUUGGAAACGACUGCUAAUACCGCAUACUGAAGGCGGGGAUUUCGUCUGAUUAGCUGGUUGGAGGGGUAACGACCCACCAAGGCGAUGAUCAGUAUCCGGUCUGAGAGGAUGAACGGCGAAAUUGGGACUGAGACACGGCCCAGACUCCUAAGGGAGGCAGCAGUGGGGAAACUUCCGAAAUGGACGAAAGUCUGACGAAGCAACGGCGCGUGAGUGAUGACGGCCUUCGGGUUGUAAAGCUCUGUUAAUCGGGACGCGGUACCGGAAUAGAAAGCAACGGCUAACUACGUGCCAGCAGCCGCGGUAAUUC
rnacentral:rRNA from 1 species